GCUACUUUUGCCGGCGAGCGGCGGACGGGUGAGUAAUGCCUGGGAAAUUGCCCAGUCGAGGGGGAUAACAGUUGGAAACGACUGCUAAUACCGCAUACGCCCUACGGGGGAAAGCAGGGGACCUUCGGGCCUUGCGCGAUUGGAUAUGCCCAGGUGGGAUUAGCUAGUUGGUGAGGUAAUGGCUCACCAAGGCGACGAUCCCUAGCUGGUCUGAGAGGAUGAUCAGCCACACUGGAACUGAGACACGGUCCAGACUCCUACGGGAGGCAGCAGUGGGGAAUAUUGCACAAUGGGGGAAACCCUGAUGCAGCCAUGCCGCGUGUGUGAAGAAGGCCUUCGGGUUGUAAAGCACUUUCAGCGAGGAGGAAAGGUCAGUAGCUAAUACCUGCUGACUGUGACGUUACUCGCAGAAGAAGCACCGGCUAACUCCGUGCCAGCAGCCG
rnacentral:rRNA from 1 species